GGGGAUGUAGCUCAGUGGUAAAGUGCUUGUCUAACAUGCAUGAGGCCCUGGGUUUAAUACCCAGCACCACUA
rnacentral:tRNA from 1 species